GCGGUCACGCCAAACUUACGUUUGUCCUAUUGUUUCCACUUCUCUUCCUCUCUCAGCAUCUGUUCUUCUCUUCUUUAUUUCUGAUCUACUUUUCCUAGUCCCUACUUUGUCUUAUGUUUUAAAGAAAACUUGAUCAGAAAUAAAGAAAAGAAGAACAGAUUCUGAGAUAGGAAGAGAAGUGGAAACAAUAGGAGAAAUGUAAGUUCGGCGUUACAG